GACGAACGCUGGCGGCGUGCCUAAUACAUGCAAGUCGAACGCAGUGGGGACGGGUGCUUAACACCUGGGUAACCUCCCAUCAGAGGGGAUAACACUUGGAAACAGGUGCUAAACCGCUACUGAUGGAUGGACCCGCGGGGCAUUAGCUAGUGGGUGGGGUAACGGCUCACCAAGGCCACGAUGCCUAGCCGAUCGGAGAGGGUGACCGGCCACACUGGUACUGAGACACGGCCCAGACUCCUACGGGAGGCAGCAGUAGGGAAUCUUCGACAAUGGACGAAAGCCUGACGGAGCAAUGCCGCGUGAGUGAAGAAGGUUUUCGGAUUGUAAAACUCUGUUGUUAGAGAAGCGGUAUCUAACCAGAAAGCAACGGCUAACUACGUGCCAGCAGCCGCGGUAAUUC
rnacentral:rRNA from 1 species